rnacentral:misc_RNA from 1 species
CGUUUUAACUCCAAAAGGAAGUUGACUUCUAAAGAUACAUUAUUUGGAUACCUUUUUAUUAUCUAUAGAGCAUACAUUUUAAAUUUCAAUUCUCUUACUUCUAAAACAUAAGACUUUCAUACAAACUUCCGACAUCCGUUUUAUCCCCUUAGGGGUCGAUUUUCAUAAAAUAAGUUCAUAGCGAAUGUCUACGCUCUAUAAGAAACCUACCUGCCAAAUUUCAAGUUUGUAGCUGUUAUAGUUUUGGAGGUUUCGUGAUGAGUGAGUCAACCUACCAUCCCC